UACGUAGGGGGCAAGCGUUGUCCGGAAUUAUUGGGCGUAAAGAGCGCGUAGGCGGUCCGAUAAGUCGGCUGUGAAAGUCAAGGGCUCAACCCUUGAAAGCCGGCCGAUACUGUCGGACUAGAGUCCGGAAGAGGCGAGUGGAAUUCCCGGUGUAGCGGUGAAAUGCGCAGAUAUCAGGAAGAACACCCGUGGCUAAGGCGGCUCUCUAGUACGGUACUGACGCUGAGACGCGAAAGCGUGGGGAGCAAACAGG
rnacentral:rRNA from 1 species